rnacentral:rRNA from 1 species
AUACGGAGGGUGCGAGCGUUAAUCGGAAUUACUGGGCGUAAAGCGCGCGUAGGCGGCUUUGUAAGUCGGAUGUGAAAGCCCUGGGCUCAACCUGGGAAUUGCACUCGAUACUGCAGAGCUAGAGUAUGGUAGAGGGAAGUGGAAUUUCCGGUGUAGCGGUGAAAUGCGUAGAUAUCGGAAGGAACACCAGUGGCGAAGGCGACUUCCUGGGCCAAUACUGACGCUGAGGUGCGAAAGCGUGGGGAGCAAACAGGAUUAGAUACCCCUGUAGUCC